rnacentral:lncRNA from 1 species
ACAGGCAUGUGCCACUACGCCUGGCUAAUUUUUUCAUUUUUAUUUUUUGUAGAGAUGGGGUCUUGCUGUGUUGCCCAGGUUGGUCUUGAACUCUUGGCCUCAAGCAAUCCUCCUCCAGAGCCUCCCAAAGUGUUGGGAUUACAGGCAUGAGCCACUGUGCCUGGCCAGAAAUUGUUUUGAAAGGCUAACCAGUAAAACAUUAACCAAUUUACAAGAGAAAAACAGCCCCAUCAAAAAGUGGGCAAAAGAUACGAACAGACACUUCUCAAAAGAAGACAUUUAUGCGGCCAAAAAACAUAUGAAAAAAAUCUCAUCAUCACUGGUCAUUAGAGAAAUGCAAAUCAAAACCACAAUGAGAUACCAUCUCAUGCCAGUUAGAAUGGCAAUCAUUAAAAAGUCAGGAAACAACACAUGCUGGCGAGGCUGUGGAGAAAUAGGAACGCUUUUACACUGUUGGUGGGAGUGUAAAUUAGUGCAGCCAUUGUGGAAGACAGUGUGGCGAUUCCUCAAGGAUCUAGAAUCAGAAAUACCAUUUGACCUAGCAAUCCCAUUACUGUGUAUAUACCCAAAGGAUUAUACAUCAUUCUGCUAUAAAGACACAUGCACAUGUAUGUUUAUUGCAGCACUAUUCACAAUAGCAAAGACUUGGAACUGACCCAAAUGCUCAUCAGUGAUAGACUGGAUAAAGAAAAUGUGGCACAUAUACACCAUGGAAUACUAUAAAUAUAUAAAAAAAGAUGAGUUCAUGUCCUUUGCAGGGACAUGGAUGAAGCUGGAAACCAUUGUUAUCAGCAAACUAACACAGGAACAGAAAACCAAACACCACAUAUUCUCACUUAUAAGUGGGAAUUGAACAAUGAGAACACAUGGACACAGGGAGGGGAACAUCACACAACGGGGCCUGUUGAGGGGUAGGGGGCUAGAGGAGGGAUAGCAUUAGCAGAAAUACCUAAUGUAGAUGACAGGUCGAUGGAUGCAGCAAACCACCAUGGCACGUGUAUACCUAUGUAACCUGCACGUUCUGCACAUGUAUCCCAGAACUUAAAGUAUAAUUUUAAAAAAAGGGAAAAAAAGUAAAAAAAAAAAAUAAACAAAUCAGCAAACUACACAGAAGAAUAUUAGAACAAUUUCUCUCAAAUUUCUCUUCCAUUGAGCUUCCUGCCUGACCCUAGAGCUCCCUCACCUCUUUGGCUUACCAGCUCCCAUCCUUCAAAGUUUCUGAGUUAUUCUGUGGGGAAUUUGAGCUACUCUCUUCCUUUAGGUCCAGGCCAUCUCAGCUAGGUCCAGAGAGCCUCACUCACCUCCCCAACUAAGCAAGCAUCCCUGGAGGUAUGUUCUUCAUGCAAGGGCAGUUCCUGAGAGAAUUUAUUUGGUUAGCUCAUAAAGGGAUUAUAUUGUUUUCCCCUGCACAUGAGAGAGAGUAGCUGAAGUCUACUGACUUUAAUGAAAUUCUCUGUGAAGAGUCUGGGAGGGACGGUUUAGGUAAUCCAUCUACAAGGGUGCUCAGAGAGUUUGGAGCGAAGCGAUUGGUGUCGUUAUGAUGGCAUUCUAUGGCACAGUAGUUACAGUGCACCAGGCACUCUUUUAAAGACUUCUCAAGUGUUCAUUCAUUUAAUUCUUACCACAACCCUGUGAGGGACUUCCUGUUAUUGUCUCCGUUUUACUGGUGAGGAAGCUGAAGCAGAGAAGUUAACUACUUUGCCCAAGUUCCUUUCCUCCUUUGAGGAUAAGGAGCCAAAGGUUCAGGAAUGCCCAAAUCACAUCCCUCUUCUUGUCCAACCACCCAACCUCUCCACAGGCAACCUGAUCAGCCACCUUUAUACAAAGUACAGUAUUCAGAUUGGAAUAAAAAUAUAUCUCCUUGACUCCCUGCUCUGAGAGGUAUUUCUUCUCAGACUCCCAAAAGCUGGAUUGAGGAACAUGGCUUAGUUGGUACAGUAUAGCAAAAUGUCCUGCUUGUUGAAACUGAAUUUGUGAUUAUCUUCUUUUUCCUCAAGAAGUCAUUGAGGGCUGUUGUAUCCCUAUAAAAGGAGAAUUUAGAGUAGCCAAAUAAAAGGGGGCUGAAGUAGUCUCAUUACGGAAAAAGAGAGUGUGAGCAGCCUUUUAGUAAUUGAUUGCCUCAAGAUGUGGUAUUCAGCCAGGGUGAAGGGAAAGUAGUUGGGGCUGUGGAUCUGGAGGUUUACAGAAGCCUUUACCCAUCCUGAGACUCAGUUCUGCUGUUGGUCUUCAGAGAAGUGUCUGCACCUGCUGAGAAGAAAUCACACCACUGCACUCUAGCCUGGGCAACAGAGCGAGACUCUGUCUCAAAAAAAAAACAA